rnacentral:rRNA from 1 species
UACGAAGGUCCCAAGCGUUAUCCGGAUUUAUUGGGUUUAAAGGGUACGUAGGCGGGCUAUUAAGUCAGUGGUGAAAGCCCCAAGCUUAACUUGGGAACUGCCAUUGAUACUGAUGGUCUUGAGUACAUUUGAGGUGGGCGGAAUGUGUCAUGUAGCGGUGAAAUGCUUAGAUAUGACACAGAACACCGAUUGCGAAGGCAGCUCACUAAACUGUAACUGACGCUGAGGCACGAAAGCGUGGGGAGCAAACAGG